AUUGAACGCUGGCGGCAUGCUUUACGCAUGCAAGUCGAACGGUAACAGGUCUUCGGAUGCUGACGAGUGGCGAACGGGUGAGUAAUGUAUCGGAACGUGCCCAGUAGUGGGGGAUAACUACUCGAAAGAGUGGCUAAUACCGCAUGAGAACUGAGGUUGAAAGUGGGGGACCGCAAGGCCUCACGCUACUGGAGCGACCGAUAUCAGAUUAGGUAGUUGGUGGGGUAAAGGCCUACCAAGCCUGCGAUCUGUAGCUGGUCUGAGAGGACGAUCAGCCACACGUGGGACUGAGACACCGGCCCAGACUCCGUACGGGAGGCAGCAGGUGGGGGUAAUUUUGGACAAGU
rnacentral:rRNA from 1 species